rnacentral:rRNA from 1 species
ACGCUCGACACCUACGGGAGGCAGCAGUGAGGAAUAUUGCACAAUGGGGGAAACCCGUGAUGCAGCGACGCCGCGUGAGUGAAGAAGUAUUUCGGUAUGUAAAGCUCUAUCAGCAGGGAAGAAAAUGACGGUACCUGAGUAAGAAGCCCCGGCUAACUACGUGUCAGCAGCGCGGUAAUCUGAGCGGGCUGGCAAGGC